UUUGUCCCCAGGCAGGGGACAUACCAUGAUCACGAAGGUGGUUUUCUCAGGGUGAGGCUUAUCCAUUGCACUCCAGUUGUGCUGACCCCUGUUAUUUCCCCAAAUGUGGGAAACUUGACUGCAUAAUUUUUGGUAGUGGGGACUGCUUUUGCGCUCUCCCCU